AUCAUCGAAUUUAUCCGGAUUUUUAGAUGGCUUUUUUUGGAUUUUAGAUAACCCCGUGGACUAUAUUUACCAGAGCAAAUUACAAAAUAGUCUUUGUGGUUUAGGUAAUUUUUGGUUUUAAUUUUUUAUUUUAAUUCGGCCCAUUUUUAUUGUAAGUUUUGGGUGUGCGUUUUGGCCUUGGUCAUAUACAUAUGUAUAUUCUUUUUAAUUAGUAUGAUGAUUAUUGAUUAUUUGCUUAUUGAGGAAAUUGUUUAAUAAACAACUGAGUCCCACACCCCAAACCUAGUCAUCCUCGCCAACAACCUUUCAUCUCCUUUCUUUCUUUGUCACCAACAACCUCUAGCACCUGACUAAAACCUUGUUUGUUUAGCUCUUAAUGUCUCUUAAGAUUCAGAGCGUUUGGCUAGCACUUAAUUUAUCAUCUUAAUUGGAAAAAAAUGUCUGACCGAAUCAGAUGAAAACUCACGUCUGAAAAAAAAAAAAAGAGGACACGUAUUUUUAUUUUUCUAAUCCCUACCUUCGCCUCUUCUCUCUGUCAUCAAAGAACACCCGCCUUUAUCUUUCUUUCUUCUCAUCGACGCAUCAUUCUCGAUCUGCUCGGCGUUCCUCUCUGCCAUCGUGGGCGUCGUGUCCGGCUCCAACCGUUGAGCUACAACCCUCCAGCAUCGUCGCCGACUGUUGCAUCAUUCCUCCGGUUGCUACACCAUUCCUCCAUCCUCAAUCUGCUUAUCUUCGAUCUUCGGGUUGGAAUGAAAGACUGGAGUUUUGAGGCAAGAAUAAAAGAAUGAAAGAUUGUUUGUUUUUUGCAUGUCAAGUUUUUAGUGAAUGCAAACAUUUAUUUAUAAAUUGAAUUUGUAAAAGAUUAUUUCUUGUUUAAUGCAAGCCCUAAUGUGGAAUUUUUUGUAAAUUUGUGUUUUAAAGUCAUGAACAUAUGUAGUGGAUUAAAUGUUGAUAAAAAUUUUAUAUGUAAAUGUGAAUUUCUUAA